AUUGAACGCUGGCGGCAGGCCUAACACAUGCAAGUCGAGCGGAGCGGCGGACGGGGAAGUAAGGCCUAGGAAUCUGCCUGGUCGUGAGGGAGGACGUCAGGUAACGGGAGCUGAUGCCGCAUACUAUCGAAUUAGCCUGGGUCGGAUUGGCUAGUGGGAGGGGUAAAGGCCGACCCAGGCGACGAUCCGUACCUGGUCUGAGAGGAUGAUCAGCCACACUGGAACUGAGACACGGUCCAGACUCCUACGGGAGGCAGCAGUGGGGAAUAUUGGACAAUGGGCGAAAGCCUGAUCCAGCCAUGCCGCGUGUGUGAAGAAGGUCUUCGGAUUGUAAAGCACUUUAAGUUGGGAGGCGUUACCAACAGAAGAAGCACCGGCUAACUUCGUGCCAGCAGCCGCGGUAAUUC
rnacentral:rRNA from 1 species